rnacentral:rRNA from 1 species
UACAGAGGGGGCAAGCGUUGUUCGGAAUUACUGGGCGUAAAGGGCUCGUAGGCGGCCAACUAAGUCAGACGUGAAAUCCCUCGGCUUAACCGGGGAACUGCGUCUGAUACUGGAUGGCUUGAGGUUGGGAGAGGGAUGCGGAAUUCCAGGUGUAGCGGUGAAAUGCGUAGAUAUCUGGAGGAACACCGGGGGCGAAGGCGGCAUCCUGGACCAAUUCUGGCGCUGAGUGAGCGAAAGCCAGGGGAGCAAACGGG